AGAGUUUGAUCAUGGCUCAGGACGAACGCUGGCGGCGUGCCUAAUACAUGCAAGUCGAGCGGACCGAAAGGAGAGCUCGCUCUCCUUUCAGUCAGCGGCGGACGGGUGAGUAACACGUGGGUAACCUGCCUGUAAGACCGGGAUAACUCGCGGAAACGCGAGCUAAUACCGGAUAGGUCCCGUGGCCGCAUGGCGACGGGAGGAAAGAUGGCGCGAGCUAUCGCUUACAGAUGGGCCCGCGGCGCAUUAGCUAGUUGGUGGGGUAACGGCCCACCAAGGCGACGAUGCGUAGCCGACCUGAGAGGGUGAUCGGCCACAUUGGGACUGAGACACGGCCCAAACUCCUACGGGAGGCAGCAGUAGGGAAUCUUCCGCAAUGGGCGAAAGCCUGACGGAGCAACGCCGCGUGAGCGAAGAAGGCCUUCGGGUCGUAAAGCUCUGUUGUCAGGGAAGAACAAGUACCGGAGUAACUGCCGGUACCUUGACGGUACCUGACCAGAAAGCCCCGGCUAACUACGUGCCAGCAGCCGCGGUAAUACGUAGGGGGCGAGCGUUGUCCGGAAUCAUUGGGCGUAAAGCGCGCGCAGGCGGUCCCUUAAGUCUGAUGUGAAAUCUUGCGGCUCAACCGCAAGAGGUCAUUGGAAACUGGGGGACUUGAGUGCAGGAGAGGGAAGCGGAAUUCCAUGUGUAGCGGUGAAAUGCGUAGAGAUAUGGAGGAACACCAGUGGCGAAGGCGGCUUCCUGGCCUGUAACUGACGCUCAGGCGCGAAAGCGUGGGGAGCAAACAGGAUUAGAUACCCUGGUAGUCCACGCCGUAAACGAUGAGUGCUAGGUGUUGGAGGGGUUUACCCUUCAGUGCUGGAGCUAACGCAUUAAGCACUCCGCCUGGGGAGUACGGCCGCAAGGCUGAAACUCAAAGGAAUUGACGG
rnacentral:rRNA from 1 species